GGAGGGGAGGAAGGAGUUACAGGUGUGUUUUACCGGAGGGGAGGAGGGAGUUACAGGUGUGUUUUACUGGAGGGAAGGAAGGAGUUACAGGUGUGUUUUACUGGAGGGGAGGAAGGAGUUACAGGUGUGUUUUACUGGAGGGGAGGAAGGAGUUACAGGUGUGUUUUACUGGAGGGGAGGAAGGAGUUACAGGUGUGUUUUACUGGAGGGGAGGAGCGGAGUUACAGGUGUGUUUUACUGGAGGGGAGGAGCGGAGUUACAGGUGUGUUUUACUGGAGGGGAGGAGGGGGUUACAGGUGUGUUUUACUGGAGGGGAGGAGGGAGUUACAGGUGUGUUUUACUGGAGGGGAGGAGGGAGUUACAGGUGUGUUUUACUGGAGGGG
ensembl:lncRNA